CCUUUAAAGAAAGCGUAAUAGCUCACUAGUCGAGUCGGCCCGCGCGGAAGAUUUAACGGGGCUCAAACUGUACACCGAAGCUGCGGGUGCAUAUUUAUAUGUGCGGUAGCGGAGCGUUCUGUAAGUCUGUGAAGGUGAAUCGUAAGGUUUGCUGGAGAUAUCAGAAGUGCGAAUGCUGACAUGAGUAACGAUAAGGGGGGUGAAAAACCUCCCCGCCGGAAGACCAAGGUUUCCUGCGCAACGCUAAUCGGCGCAGGGUUAGUCGGCCCCUAAGGUGAGGCAGAAAUGCGUAAUCGAUGGGAAGCUGGUUAAUAUUCCAGCACUUUUAAUUACUGCGAUGGAGGGACGGAGAAGGCUAGGCAAGCUUGGCGUUGGUUGUCCAAGUGAAAGUGAGUAGGCUGAAGACUUAGGUAAAUCCGGGUUUUCAA
rnacentral:rRNA from 14 species